GCGUCCUGCUCUUGCCCCGCUGCGGAACGGCGCUCGGCAGCUCGCGGGUUUCUCCCGGAUCGUACAAUCACGGAACGGCUUGGGUUGGAAGGGACCUUAAAGAACGUCGCGUUCCCAUCUCCCUGCCGUGGGCAGGGACGCCUCCCGCUAGACCAGGUUGCUCGAUGCCCCAUCCGACGUGGCCUUGAACGCUGCCAGGGACGGGGGCAUCCCUCACCAGUAGUGUUUUCAAAGUUCCACCUGCUGCUGAACGUGCCACGUCACCGCCGAGGUGGGAGGGCUUGGUACAUCUCAGCCGGAAGGAGGGCAAGACUAUUUCACCAACUGAAUCUUGCAGCCCAGCUUAAAGUGGCAAAUAGCUGUAGUAGCUCAACAAUUAAGCAAGACCUCUUGAGAAGGCUCUGCAGAGCAGAGAGUGAAUGACCCUUCGACAGCAAAUUACAUCACCUGGAGAGUCCCGAGAUGUCACUGGCCUUUUUCUGUAUUUCCAGCCAAAUACAAGGUACUGCUCUGAGGAAAUGGUGCCAGCCAUGUGAAGAGGAUGUAGGGCCAUACCUUACUAUUGCUGUAUUUAACUAUAUAACUCUCAUGAUAAAAUGUCUUCAACCUAGCUUAUGGAAGAACAGCUGGCUUCUAGCUGAACUUGAACAGGAGAGAUGUUAUCCUGACAAGAAAAUGAAAGCACUGUGAAUAAUUUGUGCUAAUUGUGGAUUUUCCUAUGCCUGAAGAUGCUCAUUUGUAACUGACCAGCUCAAUACUUGUGAUGUUUCAUCACAACACAUAUGCCCUUUGCCAGCACUUCACCAGACACCAUUUGAUCUUUGUUGAUGCAUCAGCGAAUUCUUCAAAGUUUUUCUAAGGUGGAUCCUGGCAGGAAGAUUUUGGAAACACACACUGUCCAGAACACAACAGUCUGUCUCACCAGCCACACCUCUUACUGCCAACACACACAGCUGCUUUUUAUAUUAUUUUUUUUCUCCUUUGGACAAUUUUCUCUUCUUCCUUGACCUUUAAAACUUGCAUUCCUCUCUCCAUACAGCCCACUCUCAUAAGAAAUGACACAGUGGCUGUGUUCACAACCAGUCUACCCCAGCGUUAUCUCCAACAUGUUGUCUCCAAGACAUGAAAGAAGUGAGCCACCAUAAGCUGAGGGAGGAGGCAGGGAAAUCCACACCUCUGAUGCCUGCAAAGUGUGAGCCUAGAGGUGUACCAGGUGUGAGCUGACCAUCCCUGUUCGCCUCUGGGGAAUACAGGGGGUGCUCAGGUGUCUGCCUGCUCCAUGCAGGUAUUCUGCACUCAGCAGUGCCAACCCCACUGACUUACUCCGCUGCUCUCUGUCCUUAUGGGGAGCUUUAAUCCACCCCAUGUGCCAGAGCAACUUUCUGCACAGUCCAGUGCGCCUUGUGCACUGACAUUUACGGCCUUUGUGUGCUUUAAAAUUCUUGUGAGGGUACAUUAGUUCAGACUAAGAGGCACUUAAUGAUAACAAAAGCCAUACAAAUAUGGUAGGAAGAGAGAUUCAACCUUCCUGUUUACAUGGAAGUUGUGACAUCAUUACAGGUUACAAAGCUUCCCUUCAACUAAGAAAUGCUACAUAUCAGUAUCAGAAUCUGAACAAUUCAAGUAUUUGUUUCUUGCUGGAAAAAUUAGUCAGUAAUGUAAACGGAACUGAAAUCUGACUUAUCAAACUAUGGCUUAGAUCUGUGUGUGGUCCUCCUUCCCUCCCCACCCAACUAGCAAUGCAAUUACUUACUCUGAAAUCAGCCAGCAGCAAUCCUGCAAACAAUUGUGUGAUCACGUGUGGGAGGGAGACAGAGGUCGUAGUAAGAAAAAAACAACCAAAAAACAGAAAACCAAACCCCAAAAAAUACUACUUCCAAAGAUGUGCUAAUGGAAAUAACAGUAAUAUGGAUGAUAGGUAUAUUUUUGUUCAGGAUAUAAAUUGGCAUAAAUUGUCAUGUAUAAUAUGAUGUAAUACAUAACCUCCAGUAAAAAAAUUCUCCCAAUAUUUUAGUAUUUAGGAGAUCCUGGGAAUUUUUAUUUGAGCAGUACAACCAAAUACUAGUCACUCAAAUUCAUGUGUUAUGUCUCAGAGGGUUGAGAUCAUGUCAGACUUGUCUUGGCCCAAAAGGCAUGAGAUCUGGCUGGCAGCUGCUUUCCAUUGACAGUGGAAACACUCCAUAUAUCGCCAAGUAAAGCUUUGGAAACCCAUGCAAAUGGUUGGCUGGAAAACUGUGAUUUAGCUUUUCCCAAACCAGCUCAAGUGAAUCUCACCCAUUGUUCCUCAUAACAAUUCUUUUUAUUUACUUUCUUUGCAAAAUCAAAGAAGACUUUAAUGGCAAGCAACUGGUGGAGCAUGUUUCCUGACUAUGGUAUCAGACAUGCUUGGAAUGUACUUGAGAAGCUUGCUGUUUAAAUGUAUAGAGAUUCAGCAUGCAAAUACUCAUAUUCUUCUUUGCAUUGUUGCUUACAUGAAGAGAUCCCACUUACAAGAAAAACAAGAGACAUGCUUAAUGAACUGUAAAAUUUGAUUCCCUAUU